rnacentral:rRNA from 1 species
UACACGAGCGGCGAACGGGUGAGUAACACGUGAGCAACCUGCCCCCGACUCCGGGAUAAGCGGUGGAAACGCCGUCUAAUACCGGAUACGACACACCGCCUCAUGGCGGUGUGUGGAAAGUUUUUCGGUCGGGGAUGGGCUCGCGGCCUAUCAGCUUGUUGGUGGGGUAACGGCCUACCAAGGCGAUUACGGGUAGCCGGCCUGAGAGGGCGACCGGCCACACUGGGACUGAGACACGGCCCAGACUCCUGCGGGAGGCAGCAGUGGGGAAUAUUGCGCAAUGGGCGAAAGCCUGACGCAGCGACGCCGCGUGGGGGAUGACGGCCUUCGGGUUGUAAACCUCUUUUACCACCAACGCAGGCUCCCAGUUCUCUGGGGGUUGACGGUAGGUGGGGAAUAAGGACCGGCUAACUACGUGCCAGCAGCCGCGGUAAUACGUAGGGUCCGAGCGUUGUCCGGAAUUAUUGGGCGUAAAGAGCUCGUAGGCGGCGUGUCGCGUCUGCUGUGAAAGACCGGGGCUUAACUCCGGUUCUGCAGUGGAUACGGGCAUGCUAGAGGUAGGUAGGGGAGACUGGAAUUCCUGGUGUAGCGGUGAAAUGCGCAGAUAUCAGGAGGAACACCGGUGGCGAAGGCGGGUCUCUGGGCCUUACCUGACGCUGAGGAGCGAAAGCAUGGGGAGCGAACAGGAUUAGAUACCCUGGUAGUCCAUGCCGUAAACGUUGGGCGCUAGGUGUGGGGACUUUCCACGGUUUCCGCGCCGCAGCUAACGCAUUAAGCGCCCCGCCUGGGGAGUACGGCCGCAAGGCUAAAACUCAAAGGAAUUGACGGGGGCCCGCACAAGCGGCGGAGCAUGUUGCUUAAUUCGACGC